CAAAGCCCAGAUAGACACCGCCAGACACAAAAUAGGAGAAUCAGAUAAGUUCAGCUUCUGCCAGGAACAUUUCGGUUUUAUUUAUCUGUGCCUAGAUCAUUUUUGUGAAAAAUGGAUUCCUCUAGAUCAGCUACUUCCUGUGAGGAGAAAUACCUUCGGAGAGCAGGAACGGAGACUGCUGAUAGAAGUGGGAAAUCGCAGCAAUAAACUUUGGAACCAGCCAUUUACUAUCUCACUGGGCUGGCCCUGGAGACUGAAAAGUGCUGAAUCUGCAACUUCCCUUCCCGGUUGUUUUGCUACCUCCCAGGAAUUUCCUUCAGGGAGUCCUCGUGCCCCAGCGGGAGCCGGCAGGAGGCUGGCAUUGGAGCUGAAGCUGUAGCUGAGACGUUAUCAGACUGGGCGGAGCCAGCAAGGCCUCCUCUCUCUCCAGCCCCAAAGCUCCUCAUUUAAACGUCACAGCACCAGCUGCCCCAGGUUUUCAUAGAGAGAAAUGCACCAAAGAGCUUCUUGUGGUAUUCCGACGGGUUCUGUCUGCUUCUGUUGACUGCCAAUUUGGUGGAGCCUUGUGGUUUCUGCUGGACUGAAACACUGCUACUGAUUCACGUUUGGAGUUUGCUAUUGAACUGAGCUGCUGGUAUCCUGACAACAAAGAUUAGAAUCACCCCAGAGAACGACUUCUAAAUAGACAGGAUCUGCAGCCUUGACCCAGGAACUUAUGAUCCUCCUGCUGAGAUGAAUCCCAUCCAGGUGCUGGGAAUCCAGGUGUGAGCCACCACAUCUGGUGAGACAGGUUUAACUAUUAAAUUCCUAAAAGGAGAAACUUCAGGGAAGGCUUCUUUCAGUGCUUGCACCUGGGUUAUUAAAGCUGCCGAUCAUUCUAGGAAUUCUGGAAGUGAUUUCUUACUUUUCAUGAGUCAUGUCCACAGCUAAACUUUGGAAACUUGAACUUCCUCCAGGUUUAUGAGUAUUAAGUGAAGCUAGGUGUCAGGGACAAAGGAAACUCUAUCUCCUCACAUUCUGGCUAUUAGACAAAAGGCCAGUUUUCCUCAGGAGCUUGUUAAGUUGGUUCCCCUCUCCCAAAGGAGCCACUUCCUUACCGCUGGCAGAAGGGAAAAUGGCUGUCUGUGGUGCCUACUAGCACACCAAAGCACAUGCUGGCCGCCAGGCUCCCUCAGUAUCUCAAGUACCUAGUUCUUCUCACCUUCCCCUCCCCCAAACUUCCUCCAGCUCAGGGGCUCCCCUCCCCCAGCUACUCAUGCUCCCUAUAGCCCCGCUAGUUCAGCUACUCUUGGUCUCACACCUGGCCUCCCUCUCUCUUGCUUCUCUUUGUCUUCAUCUCUCACUCUCCCCUCUUCUCUCCCCGCCCAUGACCAGGUCCAGGCUGUUGGCCAUGCUCAGUCUACUGCUCUCGCUCUCUGCUCUGGACUCUUCCAGAUGUCCUUGGCUAGACUCUCCUUUCUGGCUACAGUAAAAGCCUUUCCCUUAACCAUACCAUGGAGCACUCAUGUCUUCAGUUCAUACGCUACGAAUGUAGUUAACCCAAAAUGUACUUGCCUAGUAAACACAGGGAGCUCAGCUCAAGACCUCAAAAUAUUGGGGUGUGUGUGUGUGUGUGUGUGUGUGUGUGUGUGUGUGUUUGUGAGUGUGUAUGUGUGCGCAUGUUAGUGUGUGUGUGUAUAUGUAUCUGUGUGUGCGUUUGUGUGUGAGUGAUGGUAACUCAGGUUUCCACAGCAGCCCCCUCUUACAGAGACUAACAGGAGCCCUGCUGAGACACUAUCUAUUCAAGUGCCUCCAUGACAAGCAUCCUGGAAGCAGGAUUUCUCUCCUGGAAAGUGGGUUUACAUCAAAGUGGGUAUGACCACAUAUCCUACUACCCACUCCCUUCCCCCUUCCGUGCCUGGCUGCAGGCUUGUGCUGUGACACCUCCCUCAUCCUGAGAAAGCUAUACAAGGAAUUCCCUGCUUUUGCCAUGUGGCCUCCAAUUCCUCAGAUCCUGCACUCUGGAGACCCUGGGAUGUUAUCUGUCUCUGGUGCUUAGGCUCUCCUCGGAGCUCUGCUGUCUCUGUGUCUGUCUGCUUGAGGUAUAAACAAGUCUAACAAAACCCCUUAGUCCCCAGUGAUCCACCUCAGCGCCUCUCCUGAGUCACUCUCUCGA